UGUGUGCUGAGGCGCGUGAUACUAAGCAUGCGAGAUUCGGGUGGCCGGCCUUCGGGUUGGUGUCCGGGUUGAGUCUGUGACCUGAUCGUGUAGUAGGCAAGCUGCGGAGGGACGCAGGAAGGUAGCCCAUCCCGGGUAGUGGUUGUCCCGGGCUAAGAAUGUAGGGCGUCAGGUAGGCAAAUCCGCCUGGCAUGUGCUUGAGAUUUGAUGGCACUGCACCUUUGGGUGUGGUGUGGGUGAUCCUAUGCUGCCUAGAAAAGCUUCGUGAGCGAGUUGUGAGCCGCCCGUACCCCAAACCGACACAGGUGGAUAGGUAGAGAAUACCGAGGCGAUCGAGAGAAUCGUGGUGAAGGAACUCGGCAAAAUACCCCCGUAACUUCGGGAUAAGGGGGACCUGAUGCGUGAUCCCACUUGCUGGGUGAAGCGUUGAGGGUCGCAGAGACCAGGCCCAAGCGACUGUUUACUAAAAACACAGGUCCGUGCGAAGUUGUAAGACGAUGUAUACGGACUGACUCCUGCCCGGUGCUGGAAGGUUAAGGGGAACUGUUAGCGCAAGCGAAGCGGUGAACUUAAGCCCCAGUAAACGGCGGUGGUAACUAUAACCAUCCUAAGGUAGCGAAAUUCCUUGUCGGGUAAGUUCCGACCUGCACGAAUGGAGUAACGAUUUGGGCGCUGUCUCCACCACAAACUCGGCGAAAUUGCAUUACGAGUAAAGAUGCUCGUUACGCGCAGCAGGACGGAAAGACCCCGGGACCUUUACUAUAGUUUGGUAUUGGUGUUCGGUACAGCUUGUGUAGGAUAGGUGGGAGACUGUGAAGCACUCACGCCAGUGGGUGUGGAGUCAUCGUUGAAAUACCACUCUGGCUGUUCUGGAUAUCUAACCUCGGACCAUGAUCUGGUUCAGGGACAGUGCCUGAUGGGUAGUUUGACUGGGGCGGUCGCCUCCCAAAAGGUAACGGAGGCGCCCAAAGGUUCCCUCAGCCUGGUUGGCAAUCAGGUGUUGAGUGUAAGUGCACAAGGGAGCUUGACUGUGAGACCGACAGGUCGAGCAGGGACGAAAGUCGGGACUAGUGAUCUGACGGUGGCGUGUGGAAGUGCCGUCACUCAACGGAUAAAAGGUACCCCGGGGAUAACAGGCUGAUCUUGCCCGAGCGUCCAUAGCGACGGCAUGGUUUGGCACCUCGAUGUCGGCUCGUCGCAUCCUGGGGCUGGAGUCGGUCCCAAGGGUUGGGCUGUUCGCCCAUUAAAGCGGCACGCGAGCUGGGUUUAGAACGUCGUGAGACAGUUCGGUCCCUAUCCGCUGCGCGCGUAAGAGUCUUGAGAAGAGCUGUCCUUAGUACGAGAGGACCGGGACGGACUAACCUCUGGUGUGCCAGUUGUCCUGCCAAGGGCACGGCUGGUUGGCUACGUUGGGACAUGAUAACCGCUGAAAGCAUCUAAGCGGGAAGCAUACUUCAAGAUGAGGACUCUCACACCAUUUGGUGGUAAGGCCCCCUAGAGACCAUGGGGUUGAUAGGACAGACGUGGAAGCCCAGUAAUGGGUGGAGCUGACUGUUACUAAUAGGCCGAGGGCUUGCC
rnacentral:rRNA from 1 species